AUUGAACGCUGGCGGCAGGCCUAACACAUGCAAGUCGAGCGGAUGAAGGGAGCUUGCUCCUGGAUUCAGCGGCGGACGGGUGAGUAAUGCCUAGGAAUCUGCCUGGUAGUGGGGGAUAACGUCCGUAAACGGGCGCUAAUACCGCAUACGUCCUGAGGGAGAAAGUGGGGGAUCUUCGGACCUCACGCUAUCAGAUGAGCCUAGGUCGGAUUAGCUAGUUGGUUAGGUAAAGGCCUACCAAGGCGACGAUCCGUAACUGGUCUGAGAGGAUGAUCAGUCACACUGGAACUGAGACACGGUCCAGACUCCUACGGGAGGCAGCAGUGGGGAAUAUUGGACAAUGGGCGAAAGCCUGAUGCAGCCAUGCCGCGUGUGUGAAGAAGGUCUUCGGAUUGUAAAGCACUGUAAGUUGGGAGGAAGGGCAGUGAGUUAAUACCUGGCUGUUUUGACGUUACCAACAGAGUAAGCACCGGCUAACUUCGUG
rnacentral:rRNA from 1 species